UAAUUUCUAAGAGAGGCGGCUAACAAACACGCUCUGUAGCGAACCUGCGUGCAUAUUUUCGCAAGGCUAUGUAUGAAGCCAGGUGUAGUGAGUGUGCAGGCCGCGUGAAUGAGUCCCGCAACGGUAGUUGUUGUGGUCCAUGAGGAUAACCGCGCGCAAGCACGGUAAAGCCGACGAAUUCAAGGCACCGUAAGGCUGUGGUCUUUGGCGCGUUAAGGUAAGCGGCGAAGACACCACCGAGAUCUCCGAGCG
rfam:Thiorhodovibrio sp. 970 genomic scaffold Thi970scaffold_8, whole genome shotgun sequence.